UUUGUUCGUAACAAGGUUUCCGUAGGUGAACCAGCGGAGGGAUAAUU
rnacentral:rRNA from 1 species